AGGACGAACGCUGGCGGCGUGCUUAACACAUGCAAGUCGGACGGUGAACCACCUUCGGGUGGGGAUCAGUGGCGAACGGGUGAGUAACACGUGAGUAACCUGCCCUUCACUCUGGGAUAACACCGGGAAACCGGUGCUAAUACUGGAUACGACCUACUCGGGCAUCCGAUGUGGGUGGAAAGAUUUAUCGGUGAGGGAUGGACUCGCGGCCUAUCAGCUUGUUGGUGAGGUAAUGGCUCACCAAGGCGACGACGGGUAGCCGGCCUGAGAGGGCGAUCGGCCGACACUGGGACUGAGACACGGCCCAGACUCCUACGGGAGGCAGCAGUGGGGAAUAUUGCACAAUGGGCGAAAGCCUGAUGCAGCGACGCCGCGUGAGGAUGAAGGCCUUGGGUUGUAAACCUCUUUCAGCAGGAAGAAGCGAAAGUGACGGUACCUGCAGAAGAAGCACCGCUAACUACGUGACCAGCAGCCGC
rnacentral:rRNA from 1 species